AUGGGCAUGGCCACCGCGACGACGGCCGCUCCGGACAAGCUCCGGCAGCCGUGCAGGCCGAGGCCGGCGGCGCAGAUUCCCUCCUCCAAGAACCGCGUGCCCAAGGCGCCCGUGGUGAUCGCGCACGAGUGCCCCAGCGCGAUGCGCGCCCACGUCCUGGAGGUGCCCGCCGGGCGCGACGUCCUGUCGUGCGUCGCGGCGUUCGCGCGGCGGGGGCGCUGCGGCGCGCUGGUGCUGGGCGCGGCCGGGCACGUCGCGGACGUCGUGCUCAGGGAGCCGGCGCUGGUGCUCCGGGGCACGACGGAGAUCCUGAGCCUGGCGGGGUGCUUCUUCCCGUCUCCCUCUGCGUCAGCCGCGGGCGUCGCGGUGUUCCUGGCCGGGCCGCGAGGCAGCGUGCUGGGCGGCGCCGUCGCGGACGGAGGGCUCGUGGCCGCCGGUCCGGUGGUGGUGAUGGUGGCCACGUUUGUCGCGGCUGCGAUCGACCGGUUGCCGCUGGUGAAGGGGGACGAAUCCUCCAAGGCGGAGGGGAGCGACGUGCACGGCGUGGCCGGACAGUGGCGGUUCGGCGGCCAGCCGCUGCAGCAACAGUGCGGAUGGGCGCCGCUGUGUCGGAAGCUGGGCGCGAAGAGCUGA
rnacentral:rRNA from 1 species